rnacentral:tRNA from 1 species
GCGAGGGUGCCCGAGCCAGAUCCAGUGGAUGAGGCUAAGUCAAAGGGGCAGGACUGAGGCUCCUGUGGCGUAGACGUUUAAACGGCGUAAGCCUGCGUGGGUUCAAAUCCCACCCCUCGCACCA